AAGUCAGAGACUGGCGCUGGUUCUUUUCUGAAUAAACGUUGGACUUGAUGGAUGCCAGAUUCGCUCUCUGUUACUGUCACUUCGUUAUACCGGCUAUCUGCGGGUUAGAAGGAUAACAGUCAUUCGAACUCCUAAUCGCACGAGAGCAAGAAUCGGGUAUGGAUUCCAUCUGCGGCAAGUACAAGCUGGUGUCCAGUGAUGAACAUUUCGAUGAGUUCCUCAAAGCCUGCGGUUUUUCGAAAGUGGAGAACGCUCUGUAAACAGUCCACACCAACGAUAUAUAUACUGGUAGAGAGCGUAUCUACGACCUCCAACCAGUUCCAGCAUUAGUGUCAUGUGACUUAUGGCCGAAUUUCGAAAGUCCAGAAGUACUUUACAUUCAUUUCUAUGGGACGAAAGACGACUGCUCUGCUUUGUUACGUAAAAUUUAAGAAAAAAUACUUAUUUGCUGCAGCGCCUAUGGAUGUAACGAAAGUUUUGUAAAAGGAAGACCUGUAACCUUUCAUAGGAAAGUUAAACCUGAAUGAUUUAUUAUUCUGUUUUCAGUAUUUUUGCUUUUUACUAUCUCUGUUGAAUUGGUUAGAAAGUCUCGGCGAUAUUGUAUAAGAAAAUUGCCGCUGUAUAUGACAUUUUCAGCAUGUAUUAUUAUCAUCAAAAUGUAUUAAAAAUACUGUGACACUAUCUACUGGAAUCACUCUUUACAUGUAAUUAAAUUUUAUAAUUCUUUUUCCGUGUGCUCCGUUGAAAUAGAAAGCUGCGCCAAUUGGCGUUAACCUUUUUUCGCCUAGUCGUACGCGUUUUGGUUCGUAAACAAGUACUGCCUACACACACACACACACACACACACAAAAAAAAAAAAAAAAAAAAAAAAAA